CCUACGGGUGGCAGCAGUGGGGAAUAUUGCACAAUGGGGGCAAGCCUGACCCAGCGACGCCGCGUGAGGGAAGAAGGAUUUCGGGUCGUAAACUUCUAUUAGGGGGGAAGAAAAAAGGACGGUACCCGUUGAAGAAGCCCCGGCUAACUACGUGCCAGCAGCCGCGGUAAUACGUAGGGGGAAAGCGUUGUCCGGAUUUACUGGGUGUAAAGGGAGCGCAGACGGGCAUGCAAGUCCGGAGUGAAAUGCGCCAGCUAAACCGCCGAACUGCCUUGGAAACUGUUUGGCUUGAGUCCGGGAGAGGUCAGCGGAAUUCCUGGUGUAGCGGUGAAAUGCGUAGAUAUCAGGAGGAACACCGGUGGCGAAGGCGGAUUACUGGACGGUAACUGACGGUGAGGCUCGAAAGCGUGGGGAGCAAACAGGAUUAGAUACCCCGGUAGUC
rnacentral:rRNA from 1 species